rnacentral:lncRNA from 1 species
AAAAAAAAGACUCUCCCUGUCUCCUCCCCGCGCCCCUUUCCUGAGUUUCUAGGACAGUCACAGUCUCUCCAGUCCCCUAUAUAUAAAUUGCCUCUUUCCCUCCCUUCCCACCCUAGCCUAAUGGUUACAUACAAAGCAUUAGAUUCUGGACUUCCAGGUCUUAUAAAUUGUUGCCACCUACUGGUUCAACUCUCUGCAAACUAGGGGAGAAAAGAGACCUCUCCCACUGGGGAAGACUUUCUCCUUUGGCUGCUAGGUGCCUAAUUAAUUAUCCCCCCCCCCCCGCCCCAAGUCUGGCUUUAAAAUCAGAGAUAGCAGGAGCCGGAAAGAAGGAAAUGUAUUCUUACUGUGCCUCAGCUGAUCACUAGAACCUUCUAGAUUAAUAAAGUCGGCUUAUGGGUUAUAUUCAAUGUGCCAAUUUAAUUAAAUUCCUCUUCCAAAUGUCAGAGAACAUUAGAACUGGGAGGGAUCGGAGACACACAGAGCCAGGACUAAAAGGGAUCUCAAAGGUCCAACCUCCUCAAUAGGAGGAAACUGAGUUCUCUAGAACUUAAAUAUCCCCUCGUGCUAUAGAUAAAGGAGCUGCACCCGAAUCUCGUCCUCUCUAAAGGCAGUUUUAGCUCAGAAGGCUUUUUACAUCAGUGACAGAAAAUCCAAAUGUUAGGGCAUCUUCCCAGGGACCUGACUAUGCAGAGCAAAGUGGAGAAGCUAGUUUCCCGGAGCCUUCAGACCCUGGGAGAUAACUCUCUGUAGCCCCCAAAGAAGGCUCUGUGCUCUCCGUUUCCACGUGUGGGUGAAAGGGCUCGAGGCUAAAAGGGGCGCAGAAAGGCACUGAAGACAAGUUCCCAUGUAGCUUUGCAGCCAGCACUAUAUGUCCUCUGCCCACCCUGGCCAUCUCCUCCCAGGGGGGCAACAACUGGGUGCAGCAAUUUCCCACAGAAAUACUCCCAUCCAGCAAGUACUACAUUCAAGGCUUUGGCUCUUUUUAUAUGAUUUCUGUCUCAGCUCUAUCCCAAAGCAGCAGGUUAGUCUCUGUUUAUGUGAAAUCGUUUUGUUUUGUUUUUUUUUCUUUUCCCUUUCCCCUCCCUCCAAGCAGCAGCUCAUGGGGGAGGUUUCCAGACUGGAAAACAACGCUAAGAUAAGGUUGGGCAGUGACCUGCACCCCUAAUUGUUAGGGGCUGCCAGUCAGGAAUGGGGGGGGUUCUCAGCGUCGCCCACGACUAGCUCUCCUGAGUCAGCGCUUCCAAGGUUAGCCCCGGCCGAGGGAGGGAGGAAUGGGAGGGGCAGGACCGGUGUCUGACUGAAAGGGCUCCUGCAGCAAUACUGAAAGCAGGGAGAAAGCCACAGACAAGGAGUCAAGCAUCCUUUCUACCCUGUCCUCGUUCCCUCGCCGCGCCCGCCCCCACCUCCUUCUGCCUCACCAGCGACCCCAGGAAGGGAUUUGAAGGAUUCUCUUUCCUCAGCCUCCUGUGGUACCCAAGCCCCUCCCUGCCCCCAGAGGGCAUCUCCACCUCCCAGCCCCUUCUCUUGUGGAAGGAUGAGCUGCUCCCUGCACGGGGAGAUCACCCCGAAGUCCCGGCUCUCGGGGCCCCCGAAUUCUCCCCCCCCCUCCUCGGAGGCUGCCAGCCCUUCCCCGAGCCUCCGUAAGCUCCCCACGCCACCGUACCUGGCUGCCAGUCGCCUCCCACCCCCGCGGCUCCGCCGGCUCGGUCCCGCACCCGCCGGCCGGGCAGCGGCCGCAGAGGCGCCGAAGGAGCUGGGCCGCGGUGCCGGGAUGCGCUCAGCCUCAGGGCAAACUUUUCGGGCAUUUUCCCCUUCGCGAUUUUUUAAGAGCGUCAAGCCGGGGAUGGGGGGGCGGGCGGGCGGAAUGUCACUGCCGUCCCAUUCCCGGAAUGGAGUCCACUGAAACUAGGCGGAUUUCAGGGAACCCUCCCCGCCUAUCGCUAGCUCCAACCAGAAGUAACUUUCCAGGAAGUAGCCCGAGGUGCAAUCGUUAAGCAGCCUAAGCCGGCGGGCGGCGGGCGGCGGGAGCCCCCACCCUGGCCUGCUGGCUCCCUCUUCCCUGCUCUGCCUCUGACUGUCUCUGGCUGUGCCUCUGUCCGUCUGUCUGUCUGUCUGCCCCGUCGCUCUGUUCUCAAGCUCUGUCUCUGUGUCUUUGGCUCAGUGUCUGUCUCUGUCUCUCUCCCCUCUUUCUCUCUGUCUCUGUCUCUCUCUGUCUCUAUCUCUGUCUCUCUGUCCCUGUCCCUCUGUUCUCUAGCUUUGUCUCUGUGUCUGGCUCAGUGUCUGUCUAUGUUUCUCUGUCUGAAUCUGUUCUCUCUCUCUCUCUCUCUCUCUCUCUCUGUCUCUCUGUCUCUCUCUCUCCCUCUCCCUCCCUCCCUCUCUCUCUCUCUCUUUCCCUCCCUCCCUCCCUCUCCCUCCCUCCCCUCUCUCUGUCUCUCUGUCUCUCUGUCCUCUCUCUCUCUGUCUCUCUCCCCUCUCUCCCUCCCUCCCUCUCCCUCCCUCUCUCUCUCUCUCUCUCUCUCUCUCUCUCUCUCUCUCUCUCUCUCUCUCUCUCCCGGUCGGAGGACAAGGCGGGUCCUGCCUCUCCAGCGGAUGCACGAUCCUUCCCAAAGGAAACGCAGGCGCUUCCUAACGGUUUCUUCCCUGUCCUCCGGCGGGGGCGGAGGGAGGGGAAGAGGAGAUAAGGGGAGGAGAAGGAACUGGGAGUGAGUCGGGAGCAGGGGCGGCUCUGGCGGCCCCAGAGCCCCCUUGGGAUUCCGGGUCUGAGCAGAGAUGCGAGGACCAGGCGAACGCGGCCGGCGGGCCCCGCAGCUCGGCGGGCCUGGGGCGAAGCUGCGCCGAGUCCCUCCCGUCCGCGUUUGCGAGAAGCUGGCCAGCGCCUGAGCUCCGAAAUAGCCCGGCCCACCCCGGAGGGACGUCGGGAUCUCCUGGGCUAAUUUCCCCGAAAUCUUGGCCCUCCCCCCAUCCAGAGCAGGCCAGCCAAGGGGCUGGCGCGCGGCCAGGCUCGGUGCCAGAGGCAUUCGCGUUGCCAUAGCUUUCAGGGUUGCACGGUGUGGAGCAAGUGGUAUCAUUGCCCCAUUUCACAGACAGCCGAGUGAGGCCCAGAAAGGCCUCCUGACCGGGCUGGCCCAUUCAAGCGCUUAGAAACCGCGGGGCCUGCUUGCUCAGCGCCGCCCUCAGGCGUCCCCCUGCCGGGAUCGGUCCUUUCUCCCUUCCCCCUGACCUUUCCCUUUCCCCCAGCAUCCUCUCGCCCUCCCCUCCCCCCUGGCACCGAUGCCCGCGGUGCGCCCGCUGCGAGCCUGUGCAAGGCCACGGCUGCCCCCGAGCCAGGACUCGGCCCUGCACCCACUGCCCGCAGCGCCCGCCCGGGCCCGGAGCCCGCCCAAGGCCCCCGGCCGGGGAAGGGGGCUGCGCGUGCCGUCCCCUCCGCCCCAGACCACGCGCGAGAGCGCGCAGCCUGCAGGGGACGGGGAGGACGAGGGAGGCCGAAGGAACCUAAGACUGGUGGGAAAAGACAAGAAGAGCAAAGGGUCCCAAGGCUCGGCGUGGGGAGCUUCCCCUGCCGCCCACAAGGGGCCGCUCUUCACCAGGCAUUGACCGCGGGCACCGCCUCCUCCUUGCCCUCUAACUGGGCUAACCACCCUAGUUGGGGGGCAGUGCCAGCCUGCCGCCCGCCGCUUCCGGCCCGAGGCGGUCUGGGCAUCCUUGGGACGGAGUCCCGCGCUGGCCGAACCGGGCUGGACGCGGGGGACGGGGACCGACGGGCAGCCCUCGGGGAGGAGAGAAACAGGGCUCUGAGGAGGGAGAGGGGCUGAUGCUCGUGGCUGGAGCCGGCAAGCCCAGCUCCCUCCUCUCCGUGAUGCCCCCUGGGUGCGCCCCCGGCCCCGGCCCGCUCCGGAGCAGCUUCUCCAGCGGCCUCGCGCACUCCUGGGAUCUGCGUGAGGUCCGCGUCUGCCUCCGGCGGGGGAGAGGGAGGCGAGGGUCAGGGCGCGCUCUGCAAGCCCGCGGGGGCUCCCGAGAGUCGGGAGAGCGCUGCGGGACGCCAGCCCCUCCGCGGGGGUGCCAGCCCCUCCGCGGGGGUGCCAGCCCCUCCGCGGGGGUGCCAGCCCCUCCGCGGGGGCGCGCGCCUCGGACCCGCGGCCACGCAGGCCGGCCCCGGCUCCCUGCCCCGAGGGCAGGCUCUGAGCGCCCGCUGAAAUGUAACAGAGAGAGCUGGGCUUCCGCAGCAGCCGCUCGGUACCUGCGGAGCCGCAGCCCCACGGCCAGGCGCCCGAAGGAGGCGGCCCAGCCUGAGCAGGCUUGGGCUUGGCCGGCGCCUGCGGGGCAACUCUCCUGCCGUCCUUCUGCCUGCCGGAUAAAGAGGCGAGGCGCACGGGCGGGAACCCCCGCCCCAUCCAAGUGCCUUUCAAAUGGUCUCAACAGACGCUGGCCAACGUUUUUAUUAUUCAUAUGAAUGGAGCUGGAAAUCAGUAACUGUGCUAGGAAAGCGAUGAGUGGGUCUUGCCAAAGUUUCCAAAGCGUCCAUGGGUUAAUUUCCAAACAAUACAAGAACAGCUCUCAAGAAGCCUCGCGUAGCCGGUCCCCGGACUAGGCUGUGGAACACCCAUCCGGGGCUCUCGGGGCUGAGUGGGCUUGGAGACUGGACUGAGCGCUAGCUGGGUGGGCUCUGGCCAGGCCCGGCGGUCCUGCUGGAGGAGCUGGUCUCUCACCUGGGGGGGAGAUACUUACUACCCAUCCAGACGCAGCUGAUACUUAGCGCACAAGCUCAAAAACCAGGCAACGAGGUCAGAAGCACUGCUAAGAGACACUUAUAUAGACCGAGUGGUUUUCAUACAAACACACAAACCUUUCCCCUUGGUAGGCCCUCACACAACCUUCUAAGUCCAAAGCACAUCCAGCAGCCAGAUAACAGUCUAGUUGCCCCCUUCGGCCUUCUCUUUCUGCAAAAUGUCAGGCGACUACAAGCGAGCAGACCAAACAAGAUGGCCAGAUGUCCUAGAGAAGUGAUUUUUCUUUCCCCCCAAAUUAAAAGGAGACAUAUUCUGAACUCUUCCUUUAGAUGGGAGCCGGGAUCCUGGUCCUAAAUACAGGGGUCAAAUGAGAUAAUACUCGUAAAGCUAAGCCCAAUGCCCAGCACAUAGUAGGUACGAUGCAAUGGAAGUCAGGGGAGUCUUCAGUGAUUCCAUUACUGCCACUUCCCUGGCAGUUUUCCCCCCUUACCAACCUCAGAGUGCUGAAACCCUCCUUUUAAAAGGGAAAAUGGAGAGCUUCCCUAGUACUGAGGUCCAGAUACCUGCUACUCGGGUGUCCUUGGGCAAGACAAUUUCCUCUCUGGGCCUUUGAAAAACAGGGAAAUUGGGCUAGGAGCCUUCCCACCCUGCAGUUUGUAAUGCAGCUGCCAGGAAAGCCAUGGCCAUCCCAAGCUGAGGAAGGAGGGGGCACACAGAGGGCGGCUAUGUUAGUCAUUCCCACAUCACGUUUUCGGGAAUGGGGGGGGCUACUCCUCUACUUGCUAAUCCCUAGUUUUAUUCACUGGGAUCCCCCGAUUCUCAAGGGUUUCUUCUCCUUGCAGUCCGCCCUCUCGCUGAAUCCGAUUCCCGGGGUCUCGACGGCCACUAGAUGGCAGACAGAGACAAGCCUAAAGCAUCUCGAGGGGGGCGGGGAGAGGGAGGGAAGGCGGUGGGGAGGGGGCGGGGAAUCAAGGCCCACAGACGCUACUGAUUCGUCCUUUAAAGGACUCAGACCGAGUCAGGGCUGGGAGGCCGCAGGGGCGGGGGGCUGCCUGGCUAGCCCUCGGGCCUAGGGGGUAGGGUCUGUCUGGGAGGGGAGGGGGAGGCGCUGGUUUGGUUUAAAGCUGUUGGAAUUCAUUCACUGCUUGCAACAGUUCCGCGGCUUUGCCCCCGGCUUCCACAGAGAGCCCAGACACACAAUGGGAGCCCCGCUCCGAAACGCAGCGCCCCCAUUUCCAUCGCUUUCCUUCCCAUUCAGUCCCAUCUACCAGGAAAGGCGAGGGGAGGGAAAGGCCGGCUGUCCGCUCUGGGGGAAAGAAGGGGCCCGGCUCGGGGCUGAGGCCUGAGGGAAUGGGCCAGUCCCCGGCUCUGGGAGGAAGGUGUUGAGGGUGCGGGCAGGGGGGCCGUUUCAUCAAGCAGCACCUUCCUCCUACAGGCUCCACCAGACAGAGCCCUCACGGCUCCCCGCACCUCCGUUCCCACCUGUUACUCAGAACCAGAAAACAGACACACCUCCAACAACUGUGGCCCCAGGUCCUUUCACAAGUUAGACCUCGGCCCCAACUGAGCAGCCAGCCAUUCUGCCUGUCUGGUCCUGCCGGCUAUUUAAGAGGGGGCAGGGGGUGUGUGUGAGAGGGAGAGAAAGCCUUCCUUUCCCACCAAGCAGAAUUACAGUUCCUCCGGCAAACCGACCUGAGCAUCUUGGUCCAAGGGAGAGACUACAAGUGGGGAGGCCCAUGGGGGGAGGGGGAAAGGUGCGCCCUGCCACGUUCCUACAUUCCCUAACGAGCGAGCGCCUUCCUUCGCCCCCCCCUCCUCCUGGAGCCUGGAAGGAUUGAGUUUCCUCUUGGGCUGAUCCAUGGCAGGAAUAUUGUUUUAAAGUCCGUUUCCCUCCUCAUUCCCCUUUAAAAACAACUCAAGGCUUAUUUAUUUCCCAAUGGCUCCAAAAAAACCUUUCUUUCCUCGCGCUCCCAGGACUGAGGGCCAGAAAGCGGGCAGAGGAGGGCGCUGGUGCCCCGGCGUCGGAGGCUCGGACCGCUAAGUUUUCACAACAAAGUGUGUGUCUGUGUGUGUGUGUGUGUGUGUGUGUGAGCGAGAUGAGGUGGAAAGCAGGAGAAGGAAGGAAGAAUUUUGACAUCGAGUCUCGGCAAUCACUUACUCAACCGAGUAACUGGAAUUGUUCAAGGGGGAGUCGGCCUGGGGUCACAACCUUGACCCGGCCUUGGCCCUCCUGCUCUCUCCCCGGUGACCUCUGGGCUCUCGGAUCUCCCUCUCGGGGCACACCGACCCUGCCUUGGGGAAAGGGGUAACGUGCACGCGGGGGGGGGCGGCCCCCUCUGCCGUUGGGUGGGGUUUUCUGCCCCCUCCCUCGCACUCCCACCGCCACCAGCGGCUGCUGGGGCCAGAGCCGAGGCCGACCAGCCCGCCCGGGGCUGCAACUGCUCAAGUUCUUCCAAAUGGGACGUCGGAAACUUCUAUUUAUAAGUGACUUGGGGGGAGGGGAAGGAAGGGGAGCAAACCUCUCACGUCGGCACCGAGCCGCUGCUAUUUUGGCCCGAGGCCCCAGUGGGGGGCGGGGGGGGGCUUUCGCCCAGGGGUCGAUCCUCCCCUCGCCCUCCCUCCUCCUCCUCCUCCUGUCCCCUCGGGAGUGGGCAGCUUGGGGUCGCCCCUCCCCCGAGCCCGGGGCCGCUGCCAAGAGCCCCGCAAGCGCGGCGGAGGAUCCCGGGCUCUGCGGGCCCCGGGCCGGGCUCGGAAGCCCGAGCUACGCCGGGCAGAAGGGAGGGCGGCCCCGCGGUGCAGGCCGGGCCCGAUCUGUGCCCGGCCUCCCGGGCCGCCCCUGGGCGAGGGGCUCCUCCAAGCCCCUCAGCGCUGAGAGGGUGGGGGAAGCCAGGGGUGCCUCCUUCAGCUCUCGGGGAGCUACGUCCCCACCGGCCUCCCCCAGCCCCCGCCGGCCUCUCCUCGGCCUGCCCGCCCCACUUUUCAGGCGGCGUAGGAGAGCUUGUUUACAUUAACCAAAAAAAAAAAGAAAGAAAGAAAAAAAGGCCAAACGUUUUCUUUCUCGUUACUAGGAAUCCGCCGCGAGCUUCCCUGCCCGGGACCAUAAACUAAUUGAAAAAUCCAUAAAAGAUUUAAUCUGCUUCCUCGGGAUGGGGGAGGAGGAGGAGGGUGUGCGAAACUGGCUGGAGAAGGCUGGGAGCAGCUCCCUCUCACACGCGCCGCCGCCGCCGCCGCCCAAACACAGCCAGCGAGCGCCACAGGCUGGGGAGGGGUGGGGGCGGCCCGGUUCCGAGCCCCCCAGCCCCCCCCCAUGCCCCCUCCCUGCUUUUCAGGGCGAGAGCCCCGCGAUGGGAGCGGCUGGGAGGCGGCAGCGCUCGCUCCGAGCCACUUUUCGCCAUCCUGGUUCCAUUUCCCAGCAGCUGCUGGGAUAACGACGCGUGAAGGCUGCACCCCGGGAGCCCGCGCUCCCCCCAUGGCCCAGACGUGAGCCUGGGAGACUUUGCCUCGUUCGAGGCCAGGGAGAGCGCCGGGCGGCCGCGGGGAGGAGGCGGCCGCAGGCAGGGCCAGCCAGAGACGGAGAGAAACACAAAGGCAGAGACACGGAGAGAGCCGAGAAAGGCGACGGGGAAAAGGGCAGGGGGGAGGCGAAAGGGAGACAACACAGACAAGCCGGAGACCGACACGUCUCCAAAGGGGGAGAGCCUGAGAGACCCUGGAGAAAAGUCCGGAGACAGAUCCUCAUUCCCAAAGACAAGUGGGGACAGAAAGACCAGAGAGAAAGGGGGGGGGGGGCGAGAAAGAGAGACCAAACGCGGCGCGAGAAGGCACCUCGAAUUCUCUGCUGCUCUGUCCCUUGCAACCCCCCCCCCCCAUGUUUGGCACCCUAUCCAUCUGUCUAGCCACAGGUUGCAACUACCACCAGCCUCGUCGCUCGUUUUGACACAAUCUCUGGCCCUGGCAGACACCAAUCCUCGGCCCCCGAGGAGACCUCCGAGCAGCUCUGCCCUCCCCCUGUCUCGGGCUGUCACACAUAAGACACAGUCUCUCCUUCUCCCCUUUACACCCCAGAACUGUGGAUCUGAACAUUCUGAGGCUGGGGUCGGCUGCGCUCAAGGCCCCGAUUUCUCCUGGGGUCGUUUGUACUGAGCCAAAAUAAUAAUGAUGAUAAUGAUAAUUCUAAUGAGUGCGAUGGCUCCCCCCCCCCAAAUAAAGACAAAAACCUACAGCCACAGGGAGAGCCAAGCCCGAGCCACGCAGAGCCCCAGACCCCGCACCAGCUGCGGGAGGGAUAAGUCCUCUCCGGAGCCCCAGUGCCCGCAGGGGUGCUGCCAAGCUCCAGGACUCCCCCCCUACACACACACACACACACACACACACACACACAAGUCAAUACCACCGCAGGUGCAAAGGCUCACUCCCUCUUUCUUCUCCCCCCAACCGCCUGCCCCAUCAUCCAGCCCUCUUCUGGGGGUUAGAGUACAGGGAAUAGGAGCUGGGGGGAGGUCGUCGGGUCUCUCUGAAUGCAGCUGAAUAAAAACUUUUUAAAUGUUUGGAUUAUUAUUAUUAUUAUUUUGAGGCAAGAAAAGCCCCCAAAGAAAUGGGGAAAACACCCGAGUUAAAAACAAAAACAAAAACCAUUCGUUUCUCUUUAAAAAAGAACCCGGCCAUGAAAGGAAAUCAACACGACACUUCAUCUGGGUGCAUGACAAAACCAAAGGAGUUUGCUUGCACAUUUUUUCCCCCAAAUCUCGGCUCUGCCCGGUGUCACUUAAUCUAAUCUCCACGGCUGAGGCUGGUGGAAGAGAGCCAGGCAGCCCGAGAAGGCAGCGAGGGAGGAGGGCGCAGGCAGACCGAGCCAGCAGCUCUCCUUCCUGAGUUACGGAGAAGAGAGAGAAGGCAGGAAGAGAAGAGAGAGAGAGGGAGAAAAGGAGAGAGAGAGGGAGAAAGGGGGAGAGAGAGAGAGAGAGAGAGAGAGAGAGAGAGAGAGAGAGAGAGAGAGAGAGAGAGAGAGAGAGAGAGAGAGAGAAGGGAGAGAGGAAGAGAGGGAGACAGAGAGGGAGAGAGGAGGGAAGGAGGGACCAGGAAAGGGGGCAGGGAGCCGCGCGGGCCAAGGAAGGGAGGAAGGCGGCCCGGGAGCCUGCGGAAGGGAGAGGGAGCCAGGGAGAAAGAGGGCACUUUGCUGCAGACAAAAAUCAAAGGGGUAGGAACGGAGAGGGGAUCACGGCCCCGUGCAAAAAGCCACACAAAUCCAGUAAAUCACAAGCCCCAAGGAAACAAGCAGCGGCAGCGGCAAGCAGCGGCAGCAGCCCGGCGUGUACUAUCUGCCCGGCUCGUGGCAGACACCCUACAGACAGACGUUCACAAAUCACCCCCAAAACAACACCUCGUCCUCUCCUCUCGCCUCCCCGCUAGCCCCCCUCCCCUCUCGCCUCUCUAGCCUAUCCCCCACCGCUUCUGCAAAGACCAAAACAACAGGGGGGAGGGGGGGGGAGGAAAAACCACCCGAUUCACUCCAAGAGCAAGAGAAAACAGAAAUAAAUAAAUAUAUAAAAAUAUAUAUAAAUAUAUAAAUCUACAUCCUAGAGCGGGAGAGACAGGGGACUAAUCGUCUGCAUUUAUUUUAACACCUGACAAAGGAAAAAAAUAAAUAUAUAUUUAUAUAUCAAUAAAUAUACAUCGGAAACUUGGAGCCAAAGCAUUUGGCAAGAGCAAAAAACAACGAGAAAAAAACAAAACAAAAAACAAAAGGCAUUAAUUAGAGGGCAAAAUCAUAAUGGUCAUGAGCGGCAGCGGCAGCGGCAGCGGCGGCGGCGGCGGCGGCGGCGGCGGCGGCACCGGCGGCACCGGCAGCGGCAGCGGCGGCGGCAGCAGGAGUAGCAGCGGCAGCGGCAGCAAUAAUCACCUGGUCUCCGGGCUUUCCUAGAAACUCCUUGCAUCACCACUUCUAAGAACCCCAGUUCUAAGAAUCAACAGAGCUCAAUUCUCGGAAUUUGAGCUGCCGACUGUACCACCGGCGCGCGGCAGGGGAGGACCCCUUGUCAGCGCCGCGGCC